ensembl:lncRNA
UGUAGUGUAAAGCAUGUAGUGUUUAGUGUCUAGUGUAUAGUGUAAAGUGUGUAGUGUAAAGCAUGUAGUGUACAGUGUUUAGUGUGUAGUGUAUAGCAUGUAGUGUACAGUGUUUAGUGUAGUGUAUAGUGUGUAGUGUUUAGUGUAUAGUGUAAAGUGUAAAGCAUGUAAUGUUUAGUGUGUAGUGUUUAGUGUCUAGUGUAUAGUGUAAAGUGUAUAGUGUAAAGUAUGUAGUGUACAGUGUUUAGUGUGUAGUGUAAAGUGUGUAGUGUACAGUGUUUAGUGUGUAGUGUAUAGUGUGUAGUGUUUAGUGUCUAGUGUAAAGUGUGUAGUGUAAAGCAUGUAGUGUACAGUGUUUAGUGUGUAGUGUUUAUGUACAGUGUUUAGUGUGUAGUGUUUAUGUACAGUGUUUAGUGUGUAGUGUUUAGUGUAAAGUGUGUAGUGUAAAGCAUGUAGUGUACAGUGUUUAGUGUGUAGUGUAAAGUGUGUAGUGUUUAGUGUAUAGUGUAAAGUGUGUAGUGUAAAGUAUGUAGUGUACAGUGUUUAGUGUGUAGUGUAAAGUGUGCAGUGUACAGUGUUUAGUGUGUACGGUUUAGUGUAUAGUGUUUAGUGUCUAGUGUAUAGUGUAAAGUGUGUAGUGUAAAGCACGUAGUGUACAGUGUUUAGUGUGUAGUGUAAAGUGUGUAGUGUUUAGUGUAAAGUGUGUAGUGUAAAGCAUGUAGUGUACAGUGGUUAGUGUGUAGUGUAAAGUGUGUAGUGUUUAGUGUAUAGUGUAAAGUGUGUAGUGUAAAGCAUGUAGUGUACAGUGUUUAGUGUGUAGUGUACAGUGUUUAGUGUGUAGUGUAAAGUGUGUAGUGUUUAGUGUAUAGUGUAAAGUGUGUAGUGUAAAGUAUGUAGUGUACAGUGUUUAGUGUGUGGUGUAAAGUGUGUAGUGUUUCGUGUAAAGUGUGUAGUGUAAAGCAUGUAGUGUACAGUGUUUAGUGUGUAGUGUAAAGUGUGUAGUGUUUAGUGUGUAGUGUUUAGUGUAUAGUGUAAAGUGUGUAGUGUAAAGUAUGUAGUGUACAGUGUUUAGUGUGUAGUGUACAGUGUUUAGUGUGUAGUGUGUAGUGUUUAGUGUAUAGUGUAAAGUGUGUAGUGUAAAGUAUGUAGUGUACAGUGUUUAGUGUGAAGUGUAAAGUGUGUAGUGUUUAGUGUAUAGUGUAAAGUGUGUAGUGUAAAGUAUGUAGUGUACAGUGUUUAGUGUGUGGUGUAAAGUGUGUAGUGUUUCGUGUAAAAGUGUGUAGUGUAAAGCAUGUAGUGUACAGUGUUUAGUGUGUAGUGUAAAGUGUGUAGUGUUUAGUGUGUAGUGUAAAGUGUGUAGUGUUUAGUGUGUAGUGUAAAGUGUGUAGUGUUUAGUGUAUAGUGUAAAGUGUGUAGUGUAAAGUAUGUAGUGUACAGUGUUUAGUGUGUAGUGUAAAGUGUGUAGUGUUUAGUGUGUAGUGUAAAGUGUGUAGUGUUUAGUGUGUAGUGUAAAGUGUGUAGUGUUUAGUGUAUAGUGUAAAGUGUGUAGUGUAAAGUAUGUAGUGUACAGUGUUUAGUGUGUAGUGUAAAGUGUGUAGUGUUUAGUGUGUAGUGUGUAGUGUUUAGUGUAUAGUGUAAAGUAUGUAGUGUACAGUGUUUAGUGUAUAGUGUAAAGUGUUGUAGUGUAAAGUAUGUAGUGUACAGUGUUUAGUGUAUAGUGUAAAGUGUGUAGUGUAAAGUAUGUAGUGUACAGUGUUUAGUGUAUAGUGUAAAGUGUGUAGUAUAAAGUAUGUAGUGUACAGUCUGUAGUGU